rnacentral:rRNA from 1 species
CCUACGGGGAGCAGCAGUAGGGAAUCUUCCACAAUGGGCGAAAGCCUGAUGGAGCAACGCCGCGUGGGUGAAGAAAGUCUUCGGAUCGUAAAACCCUGUUGUUAGAGAAGAAAGUGCGUGAGAGUAACUGUUCACGUUUCGACGGUAUCUAACCAGAAAGCCACGGCUAACUACGGGCCAGCCGCCGCGGUAAUCCGUAGGUGCAAGCGUUAUCCGGAUUUAUUGGGCGUAAAGGGAACGCAGACGGUCUUUUAAGUCUGAUGUGAAAGCCUUCGGCUUAACCGGAGUAGUGCAUUGGAAACUGGGAGACUUGAGUGCAGAAGAGGAGAGUGUAACUCCAUGUGUAGCGGUGAAAGGCGUAGAUAUAUGGAAGAACACCAGUGGCGAAAGCGGCUCUCUGGUCUGUAACGGACGCUGAGGUUCGACAGCGUGGGUAGCAAACAGGAUUAGAUACCCGUGUAGUC